GACGAACGCUGGCGGCGUGCUUAACACAUGCAAGUCGAACGGAAAGGCCCUGCUUUUGUGGGGUGCUCGAGUGGCGAACGGGUGAGUAACACGUGAGUAACCUGCCCUUGACUUUGGGAUAACUUCAGGAAACUGGGGCUAAUACCGGAUAGGAGCUCCUGCUGCAUGGUGGGGGUUGGAAAGUUUCGGCGGUUGGGGAUGGACUCGCGGCUUAUCAGCUUGUUGGUGGGGUAGUGGCUUACCAAGGCUUUGACGGGUAGCCGGCCUGAGAGGGUGACCGGCCACAUUGGGACUGAGGUACGGACCAGAAUCCUACGGGAGGCAGCAGUGGGGAAUAUUGCACAAUGGGCGGAAGCGUGAUGCAGCAACGCCGCGUGCGGGAUGACGGCCUUCGGGUUGUAAACCGCUUUCGCCUGUGACGAAGCGUGAGUGACGGUAAUGGGUAAAGAAGCACCGGCUAACUACGUG
rnacentral:rRNA from 1 species